UCUGUAGGUGGCUUGCUAAGUCAGACGUGAAAUCCCUCAGCUUAACUGGGGAACUGCGUCUGAUACUGGCAAGCUUGAGUGCAGGAGAGGAACGCGGAAUUCCAGGUGUAGCGGUGAAAUGCGUAGAUAUCUGGAGGAACACCGGUGGCGAAGGCGGCGUUCUGGACUGCAACUGACACUGAGAGACGAAGCCAGGGAGCAAACG
rnacentral:rRNA from 1 species